rnacentral:rRNA from 1 species
GACGUAGGGGGCCAGCGUUGUUCGGAAUUACUGGGUGUAAAGGGUUCGUAGGCGGUGUGGCAAGUUGGGAGUGAAAUCUCUGGGCUCAACCCAGAGGCUGCUUCCAAAACUGCUGUGCUUGAGUGUGGGAGAGGCGCGUGGAAUUGCAGGUGUAGCGGUGAAAUGCGUAGAUAUCUGCAGGAACACCCGUGGCGAAGGCGGCCAUCUGGACCAGCACUGACGCUGAGGCACGAAAGCGUGGGGAGCAAACAGG